GAAAUGCGAUAAGUAAUGUGAAUUGCAGAAUUCAGUGAAUCAUCGAAUCUUUGAACGCACAUUGCGCCCAUUAGUAUUCUAGUGGGCAUGCCUGUUCGAGCGUCAUUUCAACCCUCAAGCCUUAGUUGCUUGGUGUUGGGAGCUUAUCCCGCCGGAAGGCGGGACAACUCCUUAAAGCUAUCGGCGGAGUCGCGGUGACCCUAAGCGGUAGUAAUAUUCUUUCUCGCUCUAGGUGUCGACGCUGGCUUCUAGCCGUUAAACCCCUCUAUUUUUUUAAUGGUUGACCUCGGAUCAGGUAGGACUACCCGCUGAACUUAA
rnacentral:misc_RNA from 1 species